rnacentral:rRNA from 1 species
CAGCAGCCGCGGGAAUACGAAGGGUGCAAGCGUUAAUCGGAAUUACUGGGCGUAAAGCGUGCGUAGGCGGUUUGUUAAGUCAGAGGUGGAAGCCCGGGGCCCAACCCCGGAAUUGCCUUUGAAACUGGAAAGCUAGAAUCUUGGAGAGGUCAGUGGAAUUCCGAGUGUAGAGGUGAAAUUCGUAGAUAUUCGGAAGAACACCAGUGGCGAAGGCGACUGACUGGACAAGCAUUGACGCUGAGGUGCGAAAGCGUGGGGAGCAAACAGGAUUAGAUACCCGCGUAGUCCCUGUCUCUUAUAC